rnacentral:tRNA from 1 species
CGGAGCGUAGCGCAGCCCGGUUUAGCGUACUUGCUUGGGGUGCAAGGGGUCGCUGGUUCAAAUCCAGUCGCUCCGA